UACGUAGGCAGCGAGCGUUGUUCGGAAUUACUGGGCGUAAAGAGUGUGUAGGCGGUGCUCUAAGUUUGGUGUGAAAUCUCCCGGCUCAACUGGGAGGGUGCGCCGAAUACUGAAUGACUAGAGUGCGGGAGAGGAGAGUGGAAUUCCUGGUGUAGCGGUGAAAUGCGUAGAUAUCAGGAGGAACACCGGUGGUGUAGACGGCUCUCUGGACCGUAACUGACGCUGAGGCACGAAAGCGUGGGUAGCAAACAGG
rnacentral:rRNA from 1 species